GAUCAAUGCGGUCAAAAAUCUUAAAAACUCUCAUCCAUUCCCGUUUCUUUUCUUAAGUGUUUUUACUUGAUUUUGUAAGUAUCUUAAACUUUGAUUUGUGAUUUGAUGGCUUCUUCACAUUCAGAAUGGGGGAUUUAGAUAUAAGCCAGGUUGCUUCUGAGAUGGGGUCACCAUAAUCAUGAUCUUAUUAAAGCCAAUAGCUCUAGAUAGAGUGUUUUACCUCUUAGGAAGGGUCAGGCAGUUGACGAGGUGGGUUAGGGGCUACCAAAAUUCCUUCCAUUGUAACUGCAUCCCACUUGGUAGACCUUAGGGAAAAAUAUUGUAUUCCAUAGAAUAUAGAACUUUUAUCCCCAUCUCCUGAUGAGCAAGCAUGCUUUUCUAGGUAGGGGUGCAUCUCUGUUAGUGAGUUUCUUCUAAAGGUAGGACUUCGUUUGCCUCUUCACCUCUUCUUUAGAGUCGUUACCGGGUUACACGGGUUGACUCACACCCAGCUCGUCCCCAAUGCUUGGUCCUAAUUAGUGGAAGCCUAUUUUCUGUAGAAGAAGAUCUCCUUUGGCAAGAACAUGUCCUUCCACAUUUUUUAGACCAUUUUCUAACCAAAGGUCUUAGGAAAAGGAGAUUCUAAAGGAUGGUACUCACUCCGUCUGUUGGUGUCACAUUUCGCAUUUGUCACAAGCCUUCCCUCCUCUAUCAAAGGAUAGAAUGAGGUGUGUUUCUAGGUAAGGGAAUAGUGCCAGAUGUGCGAGGGAAACAGUCCCCCUUGUGAUAGCUCAAAACUCCUACUAAAAAGCUUGUAAGUGUUAUAUCUUUAGUUAACUUUUACUUGUGAUUGAUUUGGUUCUAACCCUUUUUCUUCUUUCACGGGAUCGGUUGACCCCUUCAAACUGAGCCGAACAAAGUUGGAGGUUAUUGAAGAUAUCUACUUCCAUUCUUUAUCUUCAAGGGAAUUUGAUCGUUUGAUUGUCUCCAAAAGAUUCUUAUAGGAGUUCUGCUUGAUGACCCGAAGAGAUAACUUCACUUUUCAUCAUGGUUUUUUACUUGUUUGUAGACUUAUGCUAACCUCAUUUGUUUUACAUAAAGUUUUGAAAAGAGGAGGCAUCCCACAUCUGACAUGGCCGUUAUACUUGCUGCACCUUUAUUACCAGGAGGAAAGGGUUGAAGUCCUCAUCUAUUGCAGCAAAACAAGUUAGGCACCAAGUAGAGAGGAUCGGUAAGGGAUGACCUCCUACAAAAGAUAAUGGAAAGAAUACAGUGGAGAAGGUGCCCAAGAAAAAAGUUCUGCCCAAGAAAAAAAUACAAAUUUUCUUCUACCGAAGAGGAUGGGUCACUGGUCAGCUGUUGUUAAUUUUAUACACCGCAUGUAUACGGGUUGUAACAAAUAAUAUAAUGGAC
rnacentral:lncRNA from 1 species